AUCACCAACACCAACAAUUUCGCAACACCCAUCACCAACACGAACAAUUUCACAAUACCCAUCACCAAUACCAACAAUAUCAGCGAAAAAUUCGACAACAAAAAACCAUACGAAAAUAAAUUUGUAAUGAAAUUAAAGAAUAGUGGCAGAAGAUUGAAGCGGUGAAGAAUGGAAAUGGAACAACACUGUUAUCAUCGUCAACAUUGAUGCACAAAACCCGCCAUUAACAUUGGCCACUGGCAUGAACAAUUCUACUUUAUGUUUUUUAAUCUCAAAUUUAUGCGGCUUAACUUAAAUAAAGACGAAACAAUUUUUAUUUUUGAAUCAAUUUCAUGAAUUGAACAAAUUUUGGAUUGAAGAUGAAGAAGAAGGUUAAAUUAGGGUUUUUAAAGAGGAAAUUGGAUAUAACCAUUAGGGCCUCAAAAUGGGUAUUUAAAAGAAAUUUAGUAGACAAAAAUUGUGUUUUAACGCGCCCAACAAUGAUUGUUUACACGUGGGCUCGCGGGUUGUUAAGGGGGUAAAUAAAUGGAAGUUUAGUUUAAGUGCUAAAGUAAGUUGAGCGGACAAGUUCAGGGGGAAAUGAUGUCUUUUCUCUUCUUCCACAUAUGAGAAAACUAAUAACAAAAAAAAAGUAUAGAAAAUAUCAAGAGAAUAAUCUCCAAUCUCCCCCUAAACAAACCUUUUUAACUCUAAAGGACUACAUUGUGGAUGGUGUGUGUUGCGUAUAAUGGUUAAAGGUUCUGUUUGAUGUGCGCUCAAUAAUUGCAGUUGUACUUCAUUAAGACUUCAAUUCUUCAGUCUCACCGAUAUUUUCUUCUUACUUUUCAGAGAAUUCAUCAACAUAGCUAUGAUAAUUUUUCCAUUUCUUAAAUGUUACCUUCUCAAUUUUUUUUUUCCAUUUCUUCUAUCCAUUUCUGCAACAUCCAAACUUGUUCCAUUGUUCUUCUGGUUCCUCAACAAUUUUGUUCAUCUCCUUGCACCUUUUUUUUUAGAUACAUAGCUCUAAGUUCGUGAUUGGUUCAUUCCUGGACCAUGUUGACCUAUAACCUCAAUGAAAACUGAAAGCUAUCCGUAUAAUGGACACAAAUGAACGGGAACCCAACAUCAUACAUCCAUCGUGCAAACAUUGCAACUGCACGAUCCGUCAAAGUUUUCUUGGCAACUUCUCUGGGAUGUUCACCUCUUUUCUUGCCUGACCACAUCCUUCAGAUUCUGUGUGAAAUAAACAUCUAUAGGACCUUUUUUUUUUGGACAAGGUAACGGACUGUGUAUAUAAAUCAUCAGCACAAAAGCUGGAAGCCAAAAUUACAUCAUCGAAUCUAUAUCCAAAAAAGUAAAAAACAGUAGACUAACUAAAUCUUAUCUCAUCUUACAAGGAUCCUAGGAUGUCUACAGUAGAAAUGGGGACAUCUAUAUUCUCUGAUUUGAGCUGCACCAAUCCUAUCUCAUCUAUAAGACCUUUUUUUCCUACCGGCACAUCUACAAGUUGAAGAGAAUAUUCCUUUUAAAUUUUUUUUUUUUGAGAGAAGUGGUAAAGACAAAUCAUUAUCCUCAUGUUCCUCCAUUUCAUCACCUCAUCAUCAAGAUUAGUCACAAACGCUUGAUGGUUCAUUUGAUGUCUUAUCUCAUAUUUUGGUCAACGUAUUUCUGUAAAUCUUCCUUAACAUGUUCCUGAUGUUUUGGACAGGUUUGACAUUGCUAUUACCAUCUAUGAGAUACAGUGAAUUCCACUUUUGGUAACUAUUGAGAAUAUAACUAAGUAAAUAAAAACCUGCUCUCUCAAACAACUUAGGCUUGUAGAUAAGAUGGUAACGCACUUCAACAUAGUAUUAGAGCAGUCAAAGGUCCUAGGAUCAAAUUUCACCAACACCUAUUUUCAAAAUGAACUUCUAUGUGCUUGGCCCAUAAAAUACUCAGGCUCGCACAUGAUUGAGAAUGUAAUUAAAUAAAAGUGUGCUAUCUGGUUGAGCUACAUAAUAUUUCAUGUUAGGUAGACUCAUAACAAAACUAAUUCACGUUAACGCUCACCUUAAUGUUUUACCUUAACGUUCACCCUUAACGUUUCACUUCGUCUGACCGGCAGACGCCGGUGACGGUGACGGUGUAGACGCGCCGGCAACAGGUAAGGGUUUAAUCUCUCUCCCUCUUUCUCUCUCCCCCAGUUCUCUCUAUCUUCUUCCCUCUCCCUUCCCUUUUUCUGUCCUGUCACUGCUAUCGCCGG
rnacentral:lncRNA from 1 species